rnacentral:lncRNA from 10 species
AAAGGGUAUCAUUAAUGCAAUAAGGCUUUUGUGGAAUUCUAUUUUGUAUGAAAUUCCUGUUUUCUAUUAGCUACUUCUUCCUCUGUGACACAAGCCUCAUUCCCUGUGAAAAACACGAAGCAGAAAACAUUCGUGAAAUCAUCAGGUAAAGAUCCCACGACCGUUCUAUCACUGACACAGUAUGUAGGUACAUGGUACAACCCCCAAGGGACCACCUUGUGGCAUCCUCAGCAACCACAGAGCCACAGGGCAAAUGAGUGUUUGCUCCCACUGAGGCUCUGCAACCUCUGCCACCAAUACUGGAGAAAUCCUCCAACCUCACUGUUUUCUCCUGAACUUGUUCCCUUCUGUUUUUCGAUUAAUUCACAGCAAACAGGCACACCUUCAAGCUGCCAAAAGCAUCUUAAACGUUGUACACUUACAAUCUUCAAAAUAUAGUUGUUCAAAAGAGUCAUCAAAGUAGUUUUUGAAAUAGAACACUUACUUUGACCACAUAAUUGAACCUUCGGAUAUCUUGAAUUGCACUUGAGAAGUCUAACCGAUUAAAGGCUUCUCCCAAGGUGCAAUAGCCAUGCCUCUGGAAGAGCAACACAGAAGUUAAAAUUAGUCAAUUAGCCAAAAAGAAUUGGCAGUUAAUGUCAAUUAAUUGUGCGAUUAAAAAAAUUUUUGGCAAAGGACAAUUUGUUUUUAUUUUGAAGACUGACUUUAGAUUUAGAUGAGAGUAUAGUAAAAUUGUAGCAAUGCUAAUAAUUUAAGCUGUUUAUGUAUACCUGAGACACCGUUAACUGACAUUUUUUACAACCUGCUGAAGUAAUGACAAAGACAAAUAUUUAUUAAAUAUCUUGCUGGUUUGUUUUGUUGGGGACAAACUGGGGUGUGGACGACGUUAAAGCUAAGAUCAUAAAAGAACUGGAUUCAUUCUAGGCUACGCAACUAAAAAUACAUAAAUCAUCUGCUUAACUGCAUUGUAAGGAUGUAGGUGUUAUAAAUAUCUAGUUGAAACACAGGAUUUCUCUGCAGGGGAGGCAUGCACUGCCCGAGUUUGAAGUAUAACAUGGGAUUUCUCUCCAGAGCAGCCAUGCACUGCCCAGGCUGGAAGUAUGCUCAACCACAAGGAUCAGGGCUGGGAGAGGCGCUUCGGUAGCAAGAAGGUGCCUCUGAAAACCAGCAUUGGGAUGGAGAGGGCUGAAGGCAAGUGCUGGAUGUGACCAUGGGCAGCUUUCAGGCUGGGAGCACGGAUGCCAAGAACCCAAAACACCAAAAAAACUGGUGCUUAGAACCACAGGUCCAAGAACUGAAGGAAGAAAAUGAAACAAUUUAUUUUCAGUACUGUAAACACUGCUGCUAUUCUCUUAGAUGUUUUUCUUCCAUGAUAUACCCUGUAUUGGUUUGUAUAGAUUAGCACAUUAGGUUUCAGAAGUCAUUUUAAACUCCAUCUUCAUCCUCCAUAUUUGAAAUAUUUAAAAUCUACAGAUUUUCAGGUCAAAGUUGUAGAGAUAAGUAAGCUAGAAAACAAUAAUAGAAAACAUGAGAUGAUUGGUCUCAAAUUCCAAACAGGUGACUUGAGAUGUCCUAGAGAAAGCAGCUGGAGUCAUAGCACCUUUGUCUCUAACAGCCGAUACACUCAGAGGCUCAUGUGCUUCUGUGCGUCACCCCCAAUCGCCCUGACAGGUGCACAACUCAACAAAAUAUACUCAUUUAAAACAUCCAAAUAUGUUGACUGAGUGCCUGCUAUGUGGAAAACAUUUUCCUGGGAACUCUGGGGAAAGGAAACACUCAUUUUGAUAUAGAUUAUAAUCUGAAAUCCAUCACAGCUGAUAUUCCACACGAUGGUGUAGCAGACACUUUCCAAGGUCACCACCCAUCUCACAAAAGGAAAUUAAAUCUGAUUCACAGAGCAGACCACAAAGAGCAUGUCUGGACCUAGAACCACAGCAUGUAACCUCGGAAGCAGUGAGACACCAGCCAGCAUGGACAAGCAGCAGGCACUUGAUCUAUACCAGAUAUGCUGCAUGAUAGAACUCUGUGCCCUCUCACAGAUAGGUCCCACCUCCAGCCUUCCCCUGCUGCCAUCUAACAUCCUAAACUCCAGCUCUGAAUGUCUGUCUCCUGCUCU